AUGGGCUCGGUUUCUGUUGUUGCCAGGGUGAAAACGGCACCCCAGGUGCUCCUGGGCCUCCUGGUGAGGAAGGGAAAAGAGGUGCAAAUGGUGAACCCGGGCAGAAUGGAGUACCUGGUACCCCUGGAGAAAGGGGAUCCCCUGGUUUCCGUGGCUUACCCGGUAGCAAUGGACUUCCUGGUGAAAAGGGCCCUGCUGGUGAGCGUGGUAGCCCAGGUCCCCCCGGCCCCAGCGGACCUGCUGGAGAGCGUGGACAAGACGGUGGCCCAGG
rnacentral:lncRNA from 1 species